UCCUUAAAGUUGCAUCAACCUCCUUGGAGGCUCCGCUCUCUGGACGUACAGGCCUCGUUAGGCUCGGCGCUCGAUGGACCUGAACUAUAUCAGUAGAGUUGGUCCAUUCUAUAAGCCGACUUGUUGACUUGUCCCAUUUUCCCCCAACAGUUUUUAUCUUGGGUUUUGCAUAGCAAAUAUUUGGCAUAAAACCUUGGUGAAAAGCUUUUUUAUCUCUUAACAUGCUCAUCUGCGGCCAGGGAUAGAAAACCUUUAGGAAAUCCUAAAAAACAUACUUUCUUUUGGAGAUAUUUCAAAGAAUAUAAAAUCAAGGUAUUGUAGGCCUACUAACAUGAUGAAGUUUUUCAUCUCUUGGCGAUGGGCAUCCUUGCCUUCAUAUGUAUUAAAUCUCUUGUUUUAAAAAGCUGAUGGUAGCAUUAUACCUGAGGACUUUCUCAUCUUGCAGUACUAUGGACAAGGCCCGUCUAAGGCUUGCUUCAACAAAAGCUGUCCUGUGCUGGUCAAAGUACUGGGAUAAAAAAAAAAAAAAAAAACCAAUUGAGUCUUUUAUUUGACUUUAAGAUAUCACAUUCUAGAGCUUUUCUUUCAUACAAAAGUUUGUUAGAAAUGUUUGUUUACUUGGCAUUGUAUUCCUGUUCUUAGUAUGAAGAUAAAAUGUGUGUAUUGUUCCAUUGCCUUUUGUUGUCUAAAAGCAGAUAAUGUUUGCUUAUCAGAUUGUAAUAUCUUUCCCACUAGUGGCAGCUGACUUUAUCUUGGCAAAUAGGAUGUCAAACCACAAGCUAGAAAGCUAUUCCUUAGCAAAAUACACCAAUACAUAAAGGAAAGGCUUCUGGAUGUGAAGUAUGCUUGUGGCUUCUUAUUCAGCAUAACUGGAUCCCAUUCACGCAAGUUUAAAGAGGUUCCUUCCAAUGUCAUAAGUUAUCAUCUACCUCCCUGUUUUGUAGCAUAGUUCCUGGAUCAUGAUGAGCAAAAUAUUAGAGUGCGGAAACAUAUGCCAUCUUUAGCCAUUACAAAACUAGGAAGCUAUUCCUCAGCAAAGUACUCCAAUAUAUAAAGGAAAGGCUUCUGGAUGCGAAGUAUGCAUGUGGCUUCUUAUUCAACGUAACUGGAUCCAUCCACUUGAGUUUAUAGAGGACAAACAUAACCUAAUGGAAGUUGUUCAAAUGUGUCACCGACUAAAGGCACUCCAACUUUCUAUGCAAUGUGAUGUGAACUCAUCCUCCACUUAUCUAGAAAAUAUUCUCACAUAUUUGCUCCUUGCACUUUCACAUCAUCCUUCAUGUCCUAAUGUUGAUGAAUGCAAGGAGGUUCAAGCAUUUGAAUCAAUUUACUGAUGUGAAGGUGGGCAAUCAGGAGUUUCCCAAAAAGGGAAAAGGAAAGUCUUUCUACAAUACUAUCUUCCAAAAUAUAAUGGGAAAGGUUUUAUGAAGGUGUUGUGCAAUCUUAUAACCCAGGAAAGAAGAAACAUGUGGUAAACUAUGAGACUUGUGUACUUCUCUUAAUUAUCCCUGUCCAAACUGUCCCCUUUCUUGAAGACUUGCUGAAUGAUAUUUGCUUCAAAGAUACUAUAUGACGAUGGAGAUGUGGA